GGGCAUUGGAACAUUGAAAACCUCCGUAUAUUCAAUAGCAUCUAAUGUGGUGAUCAACAGGCAUUCGUUCCUCAGGAAACGAAUUUCUACGUCGAUCAAGGAGCGUAUUAACCAACACAAUAGGAGCUCCUAAAUCAAUGUUUUCUGCAAACAUACGUACGUGUACCAGCAAUAACGUGAAAACUAAUUACCAAAAGAGGAACAUCCGUGUAUAAG
rnacentral:misc_RNA from 1 species